rnacentral:rRNA from 1 species
UACGUAGGGGGCAAGCGUUGUCCGGAUUUAUUGGGCGUAAAGAGCGUGUAGGCGGUUUGGUAGGUCCGUUGUGAAAACUCGAGGCUCAACCUCGAGACGCCGAUGGAAACCAUCUGACUAGAGUCCGGAAGAGGAGAGUGGAAUUCCUGGUGUAGCGGUGAAAUGCGCAGAUAUCAGGAAGAACACCCGUGGCUAAGGCGGCUCUCUAGUACGUGACUGACGCUGAGACGCGAAAGCGUGGGGAGCGAACAGG